rnacentral:rRNA from 1 species
UACGAACUGCGCGAACGUUAUUCGGAAUCACUGGGCUUAAAGAGUUCGUAGGCGGCUAUGUAGGUCAGGUGUGAAAUCCCACAGCUCAACUGUGGAACUGCGCUUGAAACCACAUGGCUUGAGGGAGAUAGAGGUAAGCGGAACUGAUGGUGGAGCGGUGAAAUGCGUUGAUAUCAUCAGGAACACCGGUGGCGAAGGCGGCUUACUGGGUCUUUUCUGACGCUGAGGAACGAAAGCUAGGGGAGCGAACGGG